ensembl:lncRNA
AUACACAGUUGUUUAUGUAGCUCCUUCAAGGCUUAUCUUCACUGUAGGGACUUGGUCAAAGAGGUGGGGUCUUGGUUAGGACCCCAAACUGAUCAUCUCAGUGUUAACAACCAUGGAGUCAGCUCCGAGAAUCCAUCCCACGCAUUUUCCUCUGUCUGUCAAUGCUCCAGGACUGUGGAGAAGGAGCCGUGAGACUGAUGAACUGGUGAGAGGUCCUAGGAGAGAAGGCGCUGGGAAGCCGAACUCGCCAGGGAGGGCGCCUCCCCCAGAGGAAGGCAGCGGAUGUGGGGACGCGAGGAACCUUCUGCUGCACAGCGAGUGAGGACAGGGCAAUCAAUCACCGCCAGCCGGCUCUGUUCAGACAAAUCCAUCCCCUUUGGUACCGCUGGCACUCAAGCACUCAGCAAACCCGACAGACAACAAGCACAAUCAGCAUGCUUCCAGCCAACUGGGGUCAAGAACAAGAGUGAGGAGAGAUCAGAGGCAAAUGUCUGCUGUAGAUCAGUAUGGCGCAGGGUGGCCAAGGAACACAGUCUUCCAGGUUUCUAUGCAGCUGACCUUGGGUGGCUGGUCUCAUGAGGCCUUUUAUCACCUUGGUCUUCCGAAGCAUCUCCACUGUGACCACCACAGGGGGGCUUGAUUGACCCCUUUGGGUACAGCCUUCAAGAGCCCCUGGAGAGGGAAUGCAUAGACGAGGGGAUGGGAGCUGACUCCAGAGAUGUAAAUGGGCAGCGCAAGGUGAUGGAGGAUCCUGGCUGCAGAGCCCAGUAACCUGACCUGUGAUCUGUAGGUAGCCAGGAAUGAACUAAAGGCAAAGAAGCAGAAUGAUUUGAUGGCUGUUUUAGAAACUUCUUUCAGCUGUGUAAAAGAUAUGCUUCUUGAAAAGAUAGAGGAAACAUUGGAUAAUGUUUUUUCUUUGCAAUCCUGUGGACUAUAGCAUGCCAGGCUUCCCUGUCCUUCCCUGUCUCCCAGAGCUUGCUCAAAUUUUUAUCCAUUGAGUUGAUGAUGCCAUCCAACCAUCUCGUCCUCUGUUGUCCCCUCCUCCUCCUGCCUGCAAUCUUUCCCAACAUUGGGUCUUUUCCAAUGAGUUGGCUUUUUCCAAGGAAAGCCUAAAUCAGAAGACCUUUCUGAGGAAAGCCUAAAUCAGAACACUUCUAAAUAAGAAGAACUUUGCUCUUCUCUAAUUGUAUAUUUUUGAUUAACUCUCUUUAAAAGGUUAAGGAAAACUUCUAUUAUCAUAAGCCUUUGGUGAUGCCCUAAUUUGUCCUCUCACCACCCUGUGAAUCAGGUGUGGGGAGGACGGACACAUAUACUUAACUUCUCUGUGUGACAGAAAUACAGCUGAGUUACCAGUCUCACUCGUGGGUUUUGGCACAACCAGGAAGGAUUUCACAGUCUGAAGUCUCAGCAUUGUGCCCUAAUGAGAUCCCCUUGUCACCCCCCCGCACACCCACACUCACACUUUCUCCUAAAAAGUCACUUUAGAAAGAACACACCCUGGUUUUGGAAACUUGCCUCUGAGUCCCAGUCCCAAGUUAGACAUUUGCAGAUCACUGCCUCAGUUUCCUUCUGCCUCACCAUUCUCUCCUUGUUGUUUCUCAGUGAGUUUCCUUAUAAAUGUAAACACACUACCAAAGUUGAGCUUUGGCCCAGUGUGGUGCUGCAGCCCCAAAGAAACCCUCCUUAGGAAAUGUGAGCAGUAAACAAACACUGAAUAGAGAAGUCGAUGUUUACUGCCUUCUCUUCUGACAUCUCCAAUGUACCUCUUCUUGUACCAGGAACAUUGGCCUCAGCCCCAAGAGCAUGUCAGCAGUUUUUCUUAAUUGGCUCAGAGCUGUGAUGGCUGCCUCGUGGUCCACCCCGCUGCCCCUGUCUCCAAAGCAUGCCCGACAGGAAAGGCCCGGGUGUAAAGGAAGUUCAGGAGGCUGCAUUUAUAAUAUACUGCAGACUUCACGUAAAUGCUUCUGCAAUUUGAAGUAGAAAAUGGUGCACCAUACAUCACUUUAACUAAUUGAUCUCAAACUUUAUGCUAUUCCCAAAGGCAACAUAAAUUCAUAGCUCUCCUUUAUGCAAAAGGCUUCCAAACUGUACAAUGACAAACAGGUGUGUUUCUGCAUAUUUUGCUCUCUGCAUAAUAUUAUGUAGUACUUUAUAGUGCGUAUAUUACGCACUGACCCUUGAGUCCUCAGAUGAAAACAAAAAUUAAUAAAAUAAAAACAAACAGGUGAAAUCCCCUAAGU